rnacentral:rRNA from 1 species
UACGUAGGCAGCGAGCGUUGUUCGGAGUUACUGGGCGUAAAGAGUGCGUAGGCGGUUUUCUAAGUUUGGUGUGAAAUCUCCCGGCUUAACUGGGAGGGUGCGCCGAAGACUGGAAGGCUUGAGUAUGGGAGAGGUAAGCGGAAUUCCUGGUGUAGCGGUGAAAUGCGUAGAUAUCUGGAGGAACACCGGUGGCGAAGGCGGCAUCCUGGACCAACACUGACACUGAGGAGCGAAAGCCAGGGGAGCAAACGGG